CAGUAGCCGCGGUAAUACAGAGGGUGCGAGCGUUAAUCGGAUUUACUGGGCGUAAAGCGUGCGUAGGCGGCUUCUUAAGUCGGAUGUGAAAUCCCUGAGCUUAACUUAGGAAUUGCAUUCGAUACUGGGAAGCUAGAGUAUGGGAGAGGAUGGUAGAAUUCCAGGUGUAGCGGUGAAAUGCGUAGAGAUCUGGAGGAAUACCGAUGGCGAAGGCAGCCAUCUGGCCUAAUACUGACGCUGAGGUACGAAAGCAUGGGGAGCAAACAGGAUUAGAUAUCCCCGUAGUCCCUGUCUCUUAUAC
rnacentral:rRNA from 1 species